CUGUGAGAGUUCUUGCUGCCUGGCAGGCACUACAGACCAUUCAGGCCUUAUUAAGGGCCAGGAGUGCUCGUGACCUUUUUUUUUUUAGACUGUGGAGGGCAGCAAGGCCAUCUUGAACCUCUUCAGAGACUUCCCAGAACUGACAGAAAUCGACAGUAGGGCCCAGAUAGUUUAAAGGAGCACAUGUACCUCUCCUGUUGACUCCAGUUCUCCGUCCCCUUGCAGAACUUGUGCACUCCAGCCAGCUGCAAACAGGAGUCAAAAGACAGAAGAGUGUCCUUGCACAGGCCCCCCAGGAUGUCGCUGUGUUUCAGAUGGCACUGCAGCAGGGAGUGAUGCUUCAGGCUUUGCCUGCAAGAAACUCAGAGAGAACAACCCUCUCCACAGCCAUGACUGAAACAGAGGAGAGGCAGGAUGAAAGCACAAGACGGUCAGUCAAGCCAAAAAUGUCUACAAAAUUGCAGAGGGAAUUACUGUUGCAUCUGAAAGUCCAAAUCUGAAAAUGACAGAUGUUACUUGUAACCAACAAAGAGAUGCCAAUCUCCAUUUUCAAUCCACUCUGGAACUUGCACAGAA